rnacentral:rRNA from 1 species
GAUACAUGCAAGUCAAGGAGAACAUUAUCUUCGGAUAAUAAGUAAACUGGCGAACGGGUGAGUAACGCGUAAACAACUUGCCUCAGAGAUUGGGACAACAUUGGGAAACCAGUGCUAAUACCAAAUAAUGCAGCGGGCUCUUCGGAGCACAGUUGUUAAAGUAGGCUUCGGCUUACACUUUGAGAUAGGUUUGCGUCCGAUUAGUUAGUUGGUAGGGUAAAAGCCUACCAAGACCAAGAUCGGUAGCUGGUCUGAGAGGAUGAUCAGCCACACUGGAAUUGAGAUACGGUCCAGACUCCUACGGGAGGCAGCAGUAAGGAAUUUUGCACAAUGGGCGAAAGCCUGAUGCAGCAACGCCGCGUGAACGAUGAAGUUUUUAGGAAUGUAAAGUUCUGUCGUAUGGGAAGAGAUCUUUCGAAUGUUAAUACCAUUUGUUAAUGACGGUACCAUACAAGAAAGCACCGGCUAACUUCGUGCCAGCAGCCGCGGUAAUACGAGGGGUGCUAGCGUUGUCCGGAUUUACUGGGCGUAAAGGGUACGUAGGCGUUUUAAUAAGUUGUAUGUUAAAUAUCUUAGCUUAACUAAGAAAAUGCAUCCAAAACUGUUAAAAUAGAGUUUGAGAGAGGAACGCAGAAUUCAUGGUGGAGCGGUGACAUGCGUAGAUAUCAUGAGGAAAGUCAAAUGCGAAGGCAGCCUUCUGGCUCAAAACUGACGCUGAGGUACGAAAGCGUGGGGAGCGAACAGGAUUAGAUACCCUGGUAGUCCACGCCGUAAACGAUGAGUAUUUGGUGCUGGGGGAUUCGACCCUUUCAGUGCCGUAGCUAACGCGAUAAAUACUCCGC